rnacentral:rRNA from 1 species
AGGGCGCAGGGCGAAUGCCUUGGCACUGGGAGCCGAUGAAAGACGUGAUAAGCUGCGAUAAGCUUCGGGGAGCUGCAAAUAAGCAUUGAUCCGGAGAUUUCUGAAUGAGGAAACUCACCUGGGUUCAUACUCAGGUACAAUACACUGAAAUUCAAAAUAGGUGUAUUGAGGGAACCGCCUGAACUGAAACAUCUAAGUAGGGCGAGGAAGAGACAUCAAACGAGAUUCCGUAAGUAGUGGCGAGCGAACGCGGAAGAGGGCAAACCGAGAGUAGAAAUACUUUCGGGGUACGGACUGCUUUUAAGACUCAAUCUGUUAACCGAACGGCAUGGGAAGGCCGGUCAGAGAGUGUGAGAACCACGUAGGUGAAAACGGAGAGAGCUGCGCAGGAUCCAGAGUACGGCCAGACACGUGAAACCUGGUCGGAAUACGGGGGGACCACCCUCCAACCCUAAAUACUACCCAGUGACCGAUAGCGUAUAGUACUGUGAAGGAAAGGUGAAAAGCACCCCGGGAGGGGAGUGAAAAAGAACCUGAAACCCUGUGCCUACAAGCACCUAGAGCACGUCAAUGUGUGAUAGGGUACUUUUUGUAGAACGGUCCGGCGAGCGAUUGUAUGCAGCAAGGUUAAGGACUUAAGGUCUGGAGCCGAAGCGAAAGCGAGUUUGAAAAGGGCGUUAAGUUGCAUAUAAUGGGCCCGAAACCGGGUGACCUACCCAUGGUCAGGUUGAAGUGGAAGUAAAAUUCCAUGGAGGACCGAACCGACCUCCGUUGAAAAGGCGGCGGAUGAACUGUGGGUAGCGGAGAAAUUCCAAUCGAACCCGGAGAUAGCUGGUUCUCCCCGAAAUAGUUUUAGGACUAGCCUCAAGUUAGAUACCUGGAGGUAAAGCACUGAAUAGCCUAGCGGCCGAGAGGUUAGCGAAGCUUAUCAAACUCAGAAUGCCAGAGUAUUGAUGCUUGGGAGUCAGACAGUGUCAGAUAAAUGUCAUUGUCAAAAGGGAAACAGCCCAGAUCUACAGCUAAGGUCCCAAAGUCAGGUUAAGUGGAAAACGAUGUGAAGAUACGCAGACAACCAGGAUGUUGGCUCAGAAGCAGCCACUCAUUCAAAGAGUGCGUAAUAGCUCACUGGUCGAGCGUCUUUGCGCGGAGAAUUUAACGGGGCUAAACCUGACACCGAAGCUUAGGCAAUACAGCAAUGUAUUGGGUAGGGGAGCGUUGUAUACGCGGAGAAACAGUAGCGCAAGCGGCUGUGGAGUGUAUAGAAGUGAGAAUGCCGGAAUGAGUAGCGCGAAUGCAGUGAGAAUCUGCAUGGCCGAAAGCCUCAGGUUUCUGGAGGAAGGUUCGUCCGCUCCAGGUUAGUCGGGAGCUAAGGUGAGGCCGAAAGGCGUAGCCGAUGCACAGACGGUAGAGAUUCCGUCACCACCAAAAGAGUUAAGCACAGGGACACAUAUGAAGUCUCAGAGCCGGGUGUUGGUUCCGGUAGAGAUCGAGGGAAAUUAGUACCGAAGUCUGAGAUGGAAGAUGGCGAGAAAAGCUGUGUGUAUUUCUGAGGUGCCCGUACCGCAAACCGACACAGGUAGGUAGGAAGAAGAUUCUAAGGCCAACGGGAGAAGGGUUGUUAAGGAACUCGGCAAAUUGACCCCGUAACUUCGGGAGAAGGGGUGCUCCAGAGAUGGAGCCGCAGAGAAUCGGCCCAAGCAACUGUUUACCAAAAACACAGGUUUGUGCUAAAUCGAAAGAUGACGUAUACGAGCUGACGCCUGCCCGGUGCUGGAAGGUUAAGAGGAGAUGUGCAAGCAUUGAAUCGAAGCCCCAGUGAACGGCGGCCGUAACUAUAACGGUCCUAAGGUAGCGAAAUUCCUUGUCAGGUAAGUUCUGACCCGCAUGAAAGGCGUAAUGAUUUGGGCACUGUCUCAACAGCCCGCCCGGCGAAAUUGUAGUACCGGUGAAGAUGCCGGUUACCCGCGACAAGACGGAAAGACCCCAUGGAGCUUUACUGUAGCCUAAUAUUGGGUUUCGAUGUUGCAUGCACAGGAUAGAUGGGACUCUUGGAAACCAAGGCUUUGGCUUUGGCGGAGAGGCCGUUGGGAUACCAUCCUUGCGAUAUUGGAAUUCUAACCUGCGGCUCUGAAUCGAGUCGGGGGACAUUGUUAGGUGGGCAGUUUGACUGGGGCGGUCGCCUCCUAAAGAGUAACGGAGGCGUUCAAAGGUUCGCUCAGCUUGAACGGAAAUCAAGCAAAAGAGUGCAAACGCAGAAGCGAGCCUAACUGCGAGACUGACGGGUCGAGCAGUAACGAAAGUUGGAGUUAGUGAUCCGGUGGUAUGUGAGUGGAAAUGCCAUCGCUCAACGGAUAAAAGUUACCCUGGGGAUAACAGGCUGAUCUCCCCCAAGAGUCCACAUCGACGGGGAGGUUUGGCACCUCGAUGUCGGCUCAUCGCAUCCUGGGGCUGAAUUCGGUCCCAAGGGUUGGGCUGUUCGCCCAUUAAAGCGGUACGCGAGCUGGGUUCAGAACGUCGUGAGACAGUUCGGUCCCUAUCUGUCGUGGGCGCAGGAUAUUUGAUGGGAGCUGUCCCUAGUACGAGAGGACCGGGACGGACGUACCUCUGGCGCACCAGUUGUUCCGCCAGGAGCAUAGCUGGGCAACUACGUACGGAUCGGAUAAACGCUGAAAGCAUCUAAGCGUGAAGCCGACCCAAAGAUAAGAUAUCCCACUGAUUUGAUCAGGUAAGAUCCCUUGU